rnacentral:ncRNA from 1 species
AUAACAGGGGGAGCUUGUAUGGCAGGCUGAGAGGAAGUAAUCAAACUUCGACCCUAAGAACCUGAUUUGGAUAAUGCCAGCGUAGGGAUAUAGGU